AUGAAUGAGAUCAAAUAUGGCUAUCCAUAUCCUGCUCAAGGCCCUUAUCAGGGACCGCCUCCGGUAGCGGCACCACCGCAAUAUUAUGCGGCUCCACCGCCACCACCGCCAAAAAGACAACCCGGUUUUCUUGAAGGAUGCUUUGCAGCUUUGUGUUGCUGUUGUCUCUUGGACGAGUGCUGCUGUGACCCAACUAUUAUAUUUGGAGGUUAA